UCUCCGUAGGUGAACCUGCGGAGGGAUCAUUACAGAGUUCUCGCCCUUACGGGUAGAUCUCCCACCCACUGUUAUCGUUACUGUCGUUUCUUUGGCGGGCCGCCGGCUCCCCGGCCGCCGGCGCCUAGCUGCCGGCGCGCGCCCGCCAGAGGCCUUAAAACUCUGAAUGUUAGUGUCGUCUGAGUACAUUAUAAUAGUUAAAACUUUCAACAACGGAUCUCUUGGUUCUG
rnacentral:misc_RNA from 1 species